UACGUAGGGGGCAAGCGUUGUCCGGAUUUAUUGGGCGUAAAGAGCGUGUAGGCGGCCAGAUAGGUCCGUUGUGAAAACUCGAGGCUCAACCUCGAGACGCCGAUGGAAACCAUCUGGCUAGAGUCCGGAAGAGGAGAGUGGAAUUCCUGGUGUAGCGGUGAAAUGCGUAGAGAUCCGGAGGAACACCAGUGGCGAAGGCGACACGCUGGGCCGUACCUGACACUGAUGCGCGACAGCAUGGGGAGCAAACAGG
rnacentral:rRNA from 1 species